rnacentral:rRNA from 1 species
UACGUAGGGGGGCAAGCGUUGUCCGGAUUUAUUGGGCGUAAAGAGCGUGUAGGCGGCUAGGUAGGUCCGUUGUGAAAACUCGAGGCUCAACCUCGAGACGCCGGUGGAAACCAUCUAGCUAGAGUCCGGAAGAGGAGAGUGGAAUUCCUGGUGUAGCGGUGAAAUGCGCAGAUAUCAGGAAGAACACCCGUGGCGAAGGCGGCUCUCUGGGACGUG